rnacentral:rRNA from 1 species
UUGGAGGGCAAGUCUGGUGCCAGCAGCCGCGGUAAUUCCAGCUCCAAUAGCGUAUAUUAAAGUUGUUGCAGUUAAAAAGCUCGUAGUUGAAUUUCGGGAUUAGUACGUUGGUCGUGCCUUAGGUACGUACUGGUGUUACUGGUUCCUACCUUCUGACGAACCAUCAUGUCAUUAAUUUGGUGUGGUGGGGAAUCAGGACUGUUACUUUGAAAAAAUUAGAGUGUUUAAAGCAGGCUCGCGCUUGAAUACAUUAGCAUGGAAUAAUGAAAUAGGACGUUGAUCCUAUUUUGUUGGUUUCUAGGAUUGACGUAAUGAUUAAUAGGGAUAGUUGGGGGCAUUAGUAUUCAAUUGUCAGAGGUGAAAUUCUUGGAUUUAUUGAAGACUAACUACUGCGAAAGCAUUUGCCAAGGAUGUUUUCAUUAAUCAAGAACGAAAGUUAGGGGAUCGAAGACGAUCAGAUACCGUCGUAGUCUUAACCAUAAACUAUGCCGACUAGGGAUCGGAUGAUGUUAUUUUUAAUGACUCAUUCGGCGCCUUACGGGAAAC